UGUCGUAACAAGGUUUCCGUAGGUGAACCUGCGGAAGGAUCAUUACAAAUUAUCCAACCCACACUGUGAAUUGUUUUUCGAAGAUGCACACGGAAAAGGACGUCAAACGCCUUUGAAAUGUGCAUCUUCACCCUCCCAUACACACCCUAUAUAACUACGAGUAUGAAGUUUACUUUUUUUGUCUCCUCUUUUUGUCAAAAAAAAGAAGAGAGAAAGAAUGAUAACCGAAAUAACUCUCAACAAUGGAUGUCUUGGCUCUCGCAACGAUGAAGAACGCAGCGAAAUGCGAUACGUAGUGUGAUUUGCACUAUCCGUGAACCAUCGAAUCUUUGAACGCAUAUUGCACUCGAGGCUUCGGCCAAGAGUAUGCCUGCCUGAGCGUCAGUGUGUCUCCUCACCUCACCUUUAUUGUAUAAAGGUACGAGCGUGGAUCUGGGCGUCCGGAGUCUUUCGUGUAUAUAAUUGAAAGACUCGGGUCGCCUGAAAAACAGUCGUACGUGCGACUGUCGCAUAACCAACGUGGUAGACCACUCCGGUGGACGAUCGUUCGGUUUGACAGUUGUUUACCUAAGUAUGAUCUCGACCGAAUUGACUUUCGCUGUCGAAACCCGUGCUUUUUUACUCACUCUUCUCUUCAUCGAAAAGAGUACCCAAAAAAGCUUCACCUUUUGACCUCAGUUCAGACAAGAUUACCCGCCGAAUUUAAGCAUAUUACUAAGCGGAGGAAAAGAAACUAACAAGGAUUCCCCUAGUAACGGCGAGCGAACCGGGAAGAGCCCAACUUGAAAAUCUAAACGUUUUACGUUUCGAAUUGUAGUCUAGAGACGCGUUCUCUGUCACGAACCAGCUUCAAGUCCUUUGGAAAAAGGCGUCAGAGAGGGUGAGAACCCCGUCGAGCUCGGUUUUAGCGGCAUCACGAGGCGUAGUCGAGGAGUCGGGUUGUUUGGGAAUGCAGCCCUAAGCAGGUGGUAAAUUCCAUCUAAGGCUAAAUAUUGGCGAGAGACCGAUAGCGAACAAGUACCGUGAGGGAAAGAUGAAAAGACCUUUGAAAAGAGAGUUAAAAAGUACCUGAAAUUGUUGAGGGGGAAGCGAUUCAAACCUGCGGGUGCUCCCAGGGCAGUAGCAAUACACGCGCCUGGGGCUGGUCAACGUGGGUUAGGCUUGUGGGAUAUCACUACGAGCUUGACCGAGGACUCGACGUUGGCGGAAAGGUUUGCAUUGACCCGUCUAGAAACACGGACCAAGGAGUCUAACAUGUGUGCGAGUCGGUGGGUGUCAAACCCACGAGGCGCAGGUAACCCAACUGAACAACAUCGACCAACCAUGAUCUUCUGUGAAAGGUUUGAGUGCGAGCAUACAUGCUGGGACCCGAAAGAUGGUGAACUAUGCGUGA
rnacentral:rRNA from 1 species